GGGUGNUUAAUAUAUCGGAACGUACCCAAGAGUGGGGGAUAACGUAGCGAAAGUUACGCUAAUACCGCAUACGAUCCAAGGAUGAAAGCAGGGGACCUUCGGGCCUUGUGCUCCUGGAGCGGCCGAUAUCUGAUUAGCUAGUUGGUGAGGUAAAGGCUCACCAAGGCGACGAUCAGUAGCUGGUCUGAGAGGACGACCAGCCACACUGGAACUGAGACACGGUCCAGACUCCUACGGGAGGCAGCAGUGGGGAAUUUUGGACAAUGGGCGCAAGCCUGAUCCAGCAAUGCCGCGUGAGUGAAGAAGGCCUUCGGGUUGUAAAGCUCUUUUGUCAGGGAAGAAACGGCUGUGGCUAAUAUCCACGGCUAAUGACGGUACCUGAAGAAUAAGCACCGGCUAACUACGUGCCAGCAGCCGCGGUAAUACGUAGGGUGCAAGCGUUAAUCGGAAUUACUGGGCGUAAAGCGUGCGCAGGCGGUUUUGUAAGUCUGUCGUGAAAUCCCCGGGCUCAACCUGGGAAUUGCGAUGGAGACUGCAAGGCUAGAAUCUGGCAGAGGGGGGUAGAAUUCCACGUGUAGCAGUGAAAUGCGUAGAGAUGUGGAGGAACACCGAUGGCGAAGGCAGCCCCCUGGGUCAAGAUUGACGCUCAUGCACGAAAGCGUGGGGAGCAAACAGGAUUAGAUACCCUGGUAGUCCACGCCCUAAACGAUGUCUACUAGUUGUCGGGUUUUAAUUAACUUGGUAACGCAGCUAACGCGUGAAGUAGACCGCCUGGGGAGUACGGUCGCAAGAUUAAAACUCAAAGGAAUUGACGGGGACCCGCACAAGCGGUGGAUGAUGUGGAUUAAUUCGAUGCAACGCGAAAAACCUUACCUACCCUUGACAUGUCAAGAAGACCGGAGAGAUCUGGUUGUGCCCGAAAGGGAACCUGAACACAGGUGCUGCAUGGCUGUCGUCAGCUCGUGUCGUGAGAUGUUGGGUUAAGUCCCGCAACGAGCGCAACCCUUGUCAUUAGUUGCUACGCAAGAGCACUCUAAUGAGACUGCCGGUGACAAACCGGAGGAAGGUGGGGAUGACGUCAAGUCCUCAUGGCCCUUAUGGGUAGGGCUUCACACGUCAUACAAUGGUACAUACAGAGGGCCGCCAACCCGCGAGGGGGAGCUAAUCCCAGAAAGUGUAUCGUAGUCCGGAUCGUAGUCUGCAACUCGACUACGUGAAGUUGGAAUCGCUAGUAAUCGCGGAUCAGCAUGCCGCGGUGAAU
rnacentral:rRNA from 1 species